GAGAUUUUAUUUCUGCAUUUUACUCCAGCCUAGCAGCCAGCCUCUCCCUCUCUCAAAAACUCAUUUUUUUUAGCUUUGAUUUUGUAGUGAAUUGCUUGUGGAAGAAAGCUUAGUUUUGGAGAUUUGGGGAUUUGCUCUUGCUUGGAUUUGAGGAUUACCGGCACUUGGUCAAGAGCACCCGGGGAUUUGGAAUCUCCAUAUUUGCGGGACAUCAGGAAAGGGUAAAUCUAUCUCUGAUCAGCCAUGAGUAUGUUAGUUGGGCGAUGUAUGUAUAGGAAUGUCAAUGGGGCGGGUCGGAUCUGAUCCGACUCUGAUCCAACCUGAUCCAGAUCAUAUACGGAUCUGCCCCGCCCCGCCUCGCUGGAUCAGAUACUCGGAUCGGAUCUGAUCCGACCCGCCUUAUACGGAUCGGAUCUGAUCCGACCCAACUUUUUUUUUUAAAUAAAAAAAAUAUAUUUUAUAUCUAAAUUUAUAUUUUUUUUUCCAAAAUUUAUUUGUUUAAGAACUAAUAAUGCAUUAUUUUUUUUCUUAUAUAUUUUUAUUUUAUUUGUCAAAAUCAAUAAAAAAAAAUAUAUCAAAUUCUUAUCACAUAAAAAUGUAAUAUUACUAUUGAAAAAUUAAUUUACCAAAUUUUAGAAAUUCCACUAAUAUAAUCAUCAAUAAUAAUGUAGUAUGAUGAUUACAUGAAAUAAAUCUCCUCUAAAAAAAUACAUUAAAUUAACUAUAAACUUUAUAUAUGCUGUUCUUCUAGUCUUCAAGAUUUACUGUAUACGA